GAGCCAGCUCUUGGGAGGCAGCAGCCGGCGCCCCAGCCCUGAAGCCCGAUCCCGGUAUGGCGAAGCCGCGUCCAAGCCACUUCCUCCCCACCCGCAGGACUGAGCGGGGCCGCCCAUACCUUCCAGGCGCCUCCAGUGAAAGGCAAAACCUCUGAAGAUGUCUUCCAGUAAUGACCAGGUUGUUAUCCCAAUGCUACAAAGACACACCAAUGACCUCCCUGAGAUGAUCGCUGGUGACCAGGAGACAAUUACCCAAGGAGCUGUGUUGAGUUUUCAUAACAUCUGCUAUCGCUAUCUAGUACAAGUGAAGAGUGGUUCUCUGCUCUGAUGAAGAACGGUUGAGAAAGAAAUACUAUUGAAUAUCAGAGACAGAGUCUCACUGAGUUGCUUAGCGCCUCACUAAAU